CGGAUUAGAUACCCGGGUAGUCCCACCUGUAAACGAUGCAGACUCGAUGAUGCCCUGGCUUGUGGCCAGUGCAGUGUUGCAGGGAAGCCGUUAAGUUUGCCGCCUGGGAAGUACGUACGCAAGUAUGAAACUUAAAGGAAUUGGCGGGGGAGCACCACAAGAGGUGAAGCCUGCGGUUCAAUUGGAGUCAACGCCAGAAAUCUUACCCGGGGAGACAGCAGAAUGAAGGUCAAGCUGAAGACUUUACCAGACAAGCUGAGAAGUGGUGCAUGGCCGUCGCCAGCUCGUGCCGUGAGAUGUCCUGUUAAGUCAGGUAACGAGCGAGACCCUUGCCUCUAGUUGCCACCAUUACUCUCUGGAGUAGUGGGGCGAAUUAGCGGGACCGCCACAGUUAAUGUGGAGGAAGGAAAGGGCCACGGCAGGUCAGUAUGCCCUGAAACUCUGGGGCCACACGCGGGCUGCAAUGGUAGUGACAAUGUGUUCCGAAUCCGAAAGGAGGAGGUAAUCGUCAAACGCUACCACAGUUAUGACUGAGGGCUGCAACUCGCCCUCACGAAUAUGGAAUCCCUAGUAACUGCGUGUCAUUAUCGCGCGGUGAAUACGUCCCUGCUCCUUGCACACACCGCCCGUCGUUUCAUUGAAGUUGGCUUUGGGCGAGGUGAUGUCUCAUG
rnacentral:rRNA from 1 species